rnacentral:rRNA from 1 species
AAGGCACGCUGACACGUAGGUGAAGUGAUUUACUCACGGAGCUGAAGUCAGUCGAAGAUACCAGCUGGCUGCAACUGUUUAUUAAAAACACAGCACUGUGCAAACACGAAAGUGGACGUAUACGGUGUGACGCCUGCCCGGUGCCGGAAGGUUAAUUGAUGGGGUCAGCGCAAGCGAAGCUCCUGAUCGAAGCCCCGGUAAACGGCGGCCGUAACUAUAACGGUCCUAAGGUAGCGAAAUUCCUUGUCGGGUAAGUUCCGACCUGCACGAAUGGCGUAAUGAUGGCCAGGCUGUCUCCACCCGAGACUCAGUGAAAUUGAACUCGCUGUGAAGAUGCAGUGUACCCGCGGCAAGACGGAAAGACCCCGUGAACCUUUACUAUAGCUUGACACUGAACAUUGAGCCUUGAUGUGUAGGAUAGGUGGGAGGCUUUGAAGUGUGGACGCCAGUCUGCAUGGAGCCGACCUUGAAAUACCACCCUUUAAUGUUUGAUGUUCUAACGUGGACCCGUAAUCCGGGUUGCGGACAGUGUCUGGUGGGUAGUUUGACUGGGGCGGUCUCCUCCUAAAGAGUAACGGAGGAGCACGAAGGUUGGCUAAUCCUGGUCGGACAUCAGGAGGUUAGUGCAAUGGCAUAAGCCAGCUUGACUGCGAGCGUGACGGCGCGAGCAGGUGCGAAAGCAGGUCAUAGUGAUCCGGUGGUUCUGAAUGGAAGGGCCAUCGCUCAACGGAUAAAAGGUACUCCGGGGAUAACAGGCUGAUACCGCCCAAGAGUUCAUAUCGACGGCGGUGUUUGGCACCUCGAUGUCGGCUCAUCACAUCCUGGGGCUGAAGUAGGUCCCAAGGGUAUGGCUGUUCGCCAUUUAAAGUGGUACGCGAGCUGGGUUUAGAACGUCGUGAGACAGUUCGGUCCCUAUCUGCCGUGGGCGCUGGAGAACUGAGGGGGGCUGCUCCUAGUACGAGAGGACCGGAGUGGACGCAUCACUGGUGUUCGGGUUGUCAUGCCAAUGGCACUGCCCGGUAGCUAAAUGCGGAAGAGAUAAGUGCUGAAAGCAUCUAAGCACGAAACUUGCCCCGAGAUGAGUUCUCCCUGAGACUUUAGGUCUCCUGAAGGAACGUUGAAGACGACGACGUUGAUAGGCCGGGUGUGUAAGCGCAGCGAUGCGUUGAGCUAACCGGUACUAAUGAACCGUGAGGCUUAACCUUACAACGCCGAAG